UUUCAGACAAGAAUGAAGAGACACAGGAAUCACCCCCCUCAACAACUGCAGAAGAGCCAGAGCCUGUUCCAUGUGUCCUGCAAGGAGAUGACAUCCAGGUGCUUGCCAUUAAGGUGGAGGACCUGGAGAAACUUCAUGCUCCGUGCCCUCCCCAAGGUGCUGGGAAGGCUUCAGUCAGGAAGAAAUACUUUUGUUCAAAAGCACCAACACAAAGAGACAAAGGAGACGCAGCUCCUCGUGGUGUAUCCUGCUUCCCCAGACCUGCCCACAGCGCCACUGACACUUGCUGGAGCAGGACAGUUUGGUGAUGGCUGUG